AACGAACGCUGGCGGCAGGCCUAACACAUGCAAGUCGAACGCAUCGCAAGAUGAGUGGCGCACGGGUGAGUAACACGUGGGAAUGUAUCCUUUGGUUCGGAAUAACGUCUGGAAACGGACGCUAAUACCGGAUGAGCCCUUAGGGGGAAAGAUUUAUCGCCGAAGGAGCAGCCCGCGUCUGAUUAGGUAGUUGGCGGGGUAAAGGCCUACCAAGCCGACGAUCAGUAGCUGGUCUGAGAGGAUGAUCAGCCACACUGGGACUGAGACACGGCCCAGACUCCUACGGGAGGCAGCAGUGGGGAAUAUUGGACAAUGGGCGCAAGCCUGAUCCAGCCAUGCCGCGUGAGUGAUGAAGGCCUUCGGGUUGUAAAGCUCUUUCGCACACGACGAUGAUGACGGUAGUGUGAGAAGAAGCCCCGGCUAACUUCGUGCCAGCAGCCGCCGUAAAAC
rnacentral:rRNA from 1 species